rnacentral:lncRNA from 12 species
CAGGAAAAGGAAUUAUCUGUCUUACCUUCUCUGAAAACUAAAUAUGAGGAAUAAUGGGUAUAAAUUGAUGGAUAAUUGAAUCAGACAUGAUAGAAACUCUCAGACAGUGCAGUGGUGCAGAAGACAAAUGUGUCACUGAAAACCUAAGAAAAAGUGUCAUUAACCUGUUAUAUCUUUUGUAACAGACUGUCACCCAGUAUGUGUGCUGAAUGGGGAUAGAGGCCUUGACUGAAGGACUUCCUGAGGUCCCUUCCAGCACUCUUUUCCUUUGUUUUACAUUGGCUCAGGAGGAGCCUGUUGCUGCUGGGAAGCAAUUGCAGAGACCAGUACUGUAGCUACCUUAGCUCAUGUGGGAUGGAUAUGAAUCAUUGAGGGGUUCUGUACUGAAAUGAAUGCUCGUGCAUUAUAGGGUUGUCUCCAAUGCUUUACUGAACUGUCUGGAUUUCUGGUUGCUCUAUUUUUUUUCCCCUUUUUUCUUAAAUAACUAAUUUUUGAGUAAGAUAGAA